UACGUAGGGGGCAAGCGUUGUCCGGAAUCAUUGGGCGUAAAGCGCGUGUAGGCGGCUCGAUAAGUCUGCUGUGAAAGUCCAGGGCUCAACCCUGGGAUGCCGGUGGAUACUGUCGAGCUCGAGUCCGGAAGAGGAGUGUGGAAUUCCUGGUGUAGCGGUGAAAUGCGCAGAUAUCAGGAGGAACACCAAUGGCGAAGGCAGCACUCUGGGACGUGACUGACGCUGAGACGCGAAAGCGUGGGGAGCGAACCGG
rnacentral:rRNA from 1 species